UAUUCCCCCUGGCCGCGUGCUUAACACAUGCCAGUCGAACGAUGAAGCCCCUCUUUCUGGGUGGAUUAGUGUCGAACGGCUGAUUAACUCGUUUGUCACCUACCCUUAACUCUGGGAUAAGCCUGGAACACUGGGUCUAAUACCGGAGAGGCGCCUUCACCGCAUGUUGGGUGUUUGAGAGAUUUAUCGUUUUUGGAUGUACGCGCGGCCUAUCGGCUUGUUGGUGAGGUGAUGGCUCACCAAGGCGACGUCGGGUAGCCGGCCUGAGAGGGUGACCGGCCACACUGGGACUGAGACACGGCCCCGACUCCUACGGGAGGCAGCAGUGGGGAAUAUUGCACAAUGGGCGAAAGCCAUAUGCAGCGACGCCGCGUGAGGGAUGACGGCCAUAGCGUUGUAAGCCUCUUUCAGUAGGGAAGCAGCGAAAGUGACGGUACCUGCAGAAGAAGCAACGGCUAGCUACGUG
rnacentral:rRNA from 1 species